CCUACGGGUGACAGCAGUGGGGGAUAUUGCACAAUGGGGGAAACCCUGAUGCAGCGACGCCGCGUGUGGGAAGACGGUCCUCUGGAUUGUAAACCACUGUCCCCAGGGACGAAGAUGACGGUACCUGGGGAGGAAGCUCCGGCUAACUACGUGCCAGCAGCCGCGGUAAUACGUAGGGAGCGAGCGUUGUCCGGAUUUACGGGGUGUAAGGGGAGGGUAGACGGGACUGCAAGUUGGGUGGCAAAUCUACCGCUCAAACCGGUAACCGCACUCUAAACUGCAGUUCUUGAGUGAAGUAGAGGCAGGCGGAAUGCCUGGUGUAGCGGUGAAAUGCGUAGAUAUUAGGAGGAACACCAGUGGCGAAGGCGGCCUGCUGGGCUUUUACUGACGCUGAGGCUCGAAAGUGUGGGGAGCAAACAGGAUUAGAUACCCGAGUAGUC
rnacentral:rRNA from 1 species